rnacentral:rRNA from 1 species
AUUGAACGCUGGCGGCAGGCCUAACACAUGCAAGUCGAGCGGAUGAAGGGAGCUUGCUCCUGGAUUCAGCGGCGGACGGGUGAGUAAUGCCUAGGAAUCUGCCUGGCAGUGGGGGAUAACGUCCGGAAACGGGCGCUAAUACCGCAUACGUCCUGAGGGAGAAAGUGGGGGAUCUUCGGACCUCACGCUAUCAGAUGAGCCUAGGUCGGAUUAGCGAGUUGGUGGGGUAAGGCCUACCAAGGCGACGAUCCGUAACUGGUCUGAGAGGAUGAUCAGUCACACUGGAACUGAGACACGGUCCAGACUCCUACGGGAGGCAGCAGUGGGGAAUAUUGGACAAUGGGCGAAAGCCUGAUCCAGCCAUGCCGCGUGUGUGAAGAAGGUCUUCGGAUUGUAAAGCACUUUAAGUUGGGAGGAAGGGCAGUAAGUUAAUACCUUGCUGUUUUGACGUUACCAACAGAAUAAGCACCGGCUAACUUCGUG